UGGGAUUCUUACUGUAAAGGCAACCAGUUUAGCCACUGUGCUAUUCUGCCUACAUGCAAAUAAUGAAUGAACAGAGAGACACUCACACCUACAAACAGAAGCAAGAGGAACCUAAUACUCUUCCUCAUUGGCCUUCCUGUCUCCAUCUUUAUUCCUUCCAGCUCAUUCUCUACAUGACACUGUGAAUGCCAAACUGUCUGGAGGCUGCCAUGAGCGGCCAAUUUGUGAUCUCUGCUUUACCUGAAUUAUUUCCGUGAAUUGUGACAUCAACCUCGCCAGAUAAGAAAGAAGACUGAAGUUCAGAGAGGUGAAGGGACUGGCUCAGGGGCUACCCCUAUGGUUGCGGGAGCUAAGAUUCCAGCCCAGCAGCGUGAUCCAGAGCCCAUCUGAGCUACCCAGAUCUUCCUGCUGUUAAACCCGUCCUGGGGCAGCUCUUGCCUGAUGGGCUACCUGAGGAACCCACAGGAAAUCAAGGGAGGUGCCUGCAAAGUUGCCGUGGGGUCACAGCCUGCCCUUUGGAAGGGGCUGUUUCUGGGCUGCUGUGACUUCCUGCCAUUAUUUCCUCUCUGUUCUCCCUCUGGAAUGAAUAAAGUACUUCUGAAAAACCAUCAACCCAGUCGAUACGGAAAUGCUGGUCCCUACAAUAGAAUGCUCUGUGGUCAUUAAAAAGAUUAAAAAGGUCA
rnacentral:lncRNA from 1 species